GGCUUGGUGGUGUAAUGGUAACACCUCUGCUUUAUAUAUUUGGACUGAAUUGUUCAGCAGAAAACUCUUUGUUCGAUUCAAGACCAGGCCA